UGUGGAGACUCCAGCCUGUGUACCCAGUCAUGAGGCAGCAUGUUUGACACCAGCUGAUUAUCUGAAUCCAUCUGGUCCCAUCACCAAAGUGUUAGCAGUGGGUAAGAAACUCAUCAUCUCCCUGGAGGGCCUCUCUGGAUCUCUUGUCUGCCACUGGAUCAGAGGAGAAGACCGAGUAAUGACAGCAAAUGGGAGUCAGUCCAUGGUCACAUCACAGCUUUCUGAGAC